CACGACCCACCACGAGACUCCUGCAGAGGCACGCCAGCCACCGCAAUGGCGCAUCCACCGCGGAUUCUCUCUUCUCCACCGACCUCCAUCACUUUGAUCCAGGCAGAGCAUCCGCAAGCCGCUUCUCUGUACUCAACCAAGCUCCGUCGCUCCGCUCGACACCGGGCAUCUCCGCAGCGACGCUCCACGGCGAGAUUGGUCGCCGCCCCCUCCGUGAAAUUCACGGUCAGUGGCGUCGAUGCCGACCACCACGACGGGGAAUGCGGAACUGCGGCGGCUGGGCCGACGCCUCCCCUCGCCCCUCGCCCUCCGGCGGCUCCCACCGCACCGGAGGCGGCGGCGCGCCAGAACUAGUGGGCCAAGCGGAGGCCUUUCCAGCACCAGGCCCAAUGCUGCUCGGGGCUUCUUAAGUCAUGCCUUGGGCGUAAUACCAGCCCAGGCCCAGGCCCAAUGUUGCGAACUCGAGGUUGCCUACCGUCUCCUUUCGAAGGCGAAAGCUUGCGCGGGCGUCAUAUAUACAGCCUCCGCCUCACCGUUUUCUUCCUCGCCCUCUUCUUCACCCUUCCCGGAGCGGAGAAGCUUGCGCAGGCAUCAUAUACAGCCCCCGCCUCGUCCCCUUCCUCGGUCUGCUGAACCCUUCCUCGAUGUGCUGAACCCUUCCUGGAGCGGAGAAAGACCAGGGUCAAAUGUGGAUUAGCUGGUGCAUCAGUACUGAUUUUGAUGGAACUCUGGAGGUUCUUGGCUAGAAUGGUUCUUGGUUCUGGAUAUGUUACUACUUUAGCCUAUCUUUUCUGUUUGUUCUACAAUUUUUUGGAGUGCAAAAUCGGCAGCGUUAAACUCUGGAAACAGAAAAUGGCUUGGAUGUCUCACCAGCCUUGCCGCUUCUACAUCAUUGAUGGAUCUUGCAAGUAUGGUUCAGGCUGUUUGUUCUCUCAUGGACUUGACUUAUUUGGGAGGAUAGAGAUGCAAAUCAGGGCACUUCUGCAUGAGCCGGAUGUAUAUCAAGUUCCAGUAGAGCAUUUGCCGUGGAGUCGCCAUGAGUUGGGUAUACUGCUUCGGCAAGUGGGAUGGGAUGAGACUCUUGAUCACCUAAUGAGUUUGCUCGAGUGUCUUCAUACUAUUUGUGUGGUUUAUAACAGCUAUGGAUAUUAUGCAAUCCUGUUGGAGAAUGUUUCACGCUACCUGGGUUACUUACCUUACAAUCCAAAUGUGAUGGAUGCCGACAGUGAAGUUCACCAGAUUUAUAUUAACUUCUCUGCUCAAAGUAGAGAAAUAUGCACUGAAGAAAAUGUUCGUAUCUAUUUCAGCCAUUAUGGGGAAGUCUUUUCUGUAUAUAUUCCGCGUGAAAGGUCAUAUGGUUUUGUGAGAUUCCAGUACCCUGAGACAGUGAGGCUGCUUUUAUUAAACUGGAAUCAUCUGGUCCCUCACUUCAUCUUCGGAGCAGGACUUUAUGUGAGCCCCUAUAUCUCCAACAAUCGGAGGAACCCUGCUGAGAAUCAUGGGCCGAAUGGCCUGGAUGGAGGGCCAGGACAUGUGCCAAAUGCCCUGGGUGGAGUGCCAGGAUAAGAACCAGGUGCGCCAGAUGGAAACGCGGCACAACAAGAUAUGAACCCUGCUGGGAAUCAUGGGCUGAAUGGCCCGGGUGGAGGGCUAGGACAUGUGCCAAAUGCCCCGGUUGCAGUGCCAGAUGACGUGCUAGGUGUGCUGGAUGGAGACGCAGCAGAACAAGAUAUGAACCCUGCUUGGAAUGGAGUGGCAGGACAAGUGCCAGUUGUUCCGGAUGGAGGCGCAGCACAACAAGAUAUGGACGAGAUCGCUGCCGCUAUUCCAGAUGUCGACUGUUUCUACAAGGAGGCCUGACCUGACCAGCCAGUGGCGCAAGUAUAAGUGGAUUGGAACAGCGUUCCUCAUUCAGAUGUUGUCGAUUCCCAUUCGAUACAUAUACACUCCAGACAUAGAUUGUAGAUUAGAUGAGUAUACUAAAGACGCAGCAAACUUGAGUACACUAUACUGAUUACUGAAACGCUUCUAUGGUUUCCUCUUAGAUACAUCAUAUAGACAAAAAGAAGUUUUUGUACAUUGAAGCGCUUUCCUUGGUUGAUUAGGUUUGGGGUCAAUCCCCCUGCUGUCAUGACCUGCUGAUGCAUGAUCUAAGAAUCCUUGUAAUUCUACUCUACACACUGAGUUUUUUUGGUAGUUAAUAGCAAAACAGAAAC
rnacentral:rRNA from 1 species